rnacentral:rRNA from 1 species
GACGAACGCUGGCGGCGUGCCUAAUACAUGCAAGUCGAACGAGAGCGACCGGUGCUUGCACUGGUCAAUCUAGUGGCGAACGGGUGAGUAACGCGUGGGUAACCUGCCCAUCAGAGGGGGAUAACAUCCGGAAACGGAUGCUAAAACCGCAUAGGUCUUCGAGCCGCAUGGCUUGAAGAGGAAAAGAGGCGCAAGCUUCUGCUGAUGGAUGGACCCGCGGUGCAUUAGCUAGUUGGUGAGGUAACGGCUCACCAAGGCCGUGAUGCAUAGCCGACCUGAGAGGGUGAUCGGCCACAUUGGGACUGAGAAACGGCCCAAACUCCUACGGGAGGCAGCAGUAGGGAAUCUUCCGCAAUGGACGCAAGUCUGACGGAGCAACGCCGCGUGAGUGAAGAAGGUUUUCGGAUCGUAAAACUCUGUUGUUAGAGAAGAACAAGUGCUAGAGUAACUGUUAGCGCCUUGACGGUAUCUAACCAGAAAGCCACGGCUAACUACGUG